GCCCGCCUAGCUCAAUCGGAUAGAGCGCCAGACUUUUAAGCAUACCAAGUGCAAGGAAUCUGAAGGCUGCGAGUUCGAACCUCGCGGUGGGCC